UACGUAGGGUGCAAGCGUUAAUCGGAAUUACUGGGCGUAAAGGGCGCGUAGGCGGAUGACCAAGUUGGGGGUGAAAGCCCGGGGCUCAACCUCGGAAUUGCCUUCAAAACUGGGUGUCUUGAGUGUGAGAGAGGUGAGUGGAACUCCGAGUGUAGAGGUGAAAUUCGUAGAUAUUCGGAAGAACACCAGUGGCGAAGGCGACUCACUGGCUCAUUACUGACGCUGAGGCUCGAAAGCGUGGGGAGCAAACAGG
rnacentral:rRNA from 1 species